rnacentral:tRNA from 1 species
AGGGACAUAGCUUAGUGGUAUAGUGCUUGCCUAGCAUGAAAGAGGCUCUGGCUUCAAUUCCAAGUACUUCAA